AAGUGUUUUCAAUAUUCGU
rnacentral:snRNA from 1 species